rnacentral:lncRNA from 1 species
AAAAAAAAACCAGACACUACAGUGGCUACACCAGAAAGCCAACAAACUCAGAACCCUCAAUUCUCAUAACACUGGAUUAGGAGCUAGAAAGAAGAGAACAAGAAACCACCCUUGUACAUAGAGGUUCCACUUAUAGACACUACCAGCAACAAGACCCAGACAAUUUUCAGCUCCCUGCACUUUCCUCGUUCAGUCUGUCAAUUUCCUUCUCCCACCUGAGUACAGACAUUUGGCGGCCAAAGGGGACAAUAAGGUUGUAUCGGAAAACCUGCACCAAAGCCCAUGUAUCAGUCCUAGUAAGUAUUGCACUCUAAUUUACUAGGCUAAAUCUUAAAAAUUCGAAGAUGAGCCAAUCAAACAAUUUUCUAGAUGAUUCUGAAAAAUAUGUUUUCUGGAACUAACACAAGUUGGACUGAGAAAACAAACCACGACCAAAGAAUAGCUCAAGGUCCAGCUUUGGCUGAAACAAAGGCCACUGUCAGAAUAACCAAACAAUUCAUUUUGCUCUUGAACAGUUUCUUUUCUCCCAUUCUAAUGAACACGUUUAGUAGCAAAUAAAUAUGUGCGCCAGUUUUGACCUGCCAAACAACAACAACAGCCCAGUAUAAUCUCACUUAGUGGGGUCUGGCGAGGAUAGUGUGUACGCAGACCUUACCCCUACCCUUGGGUAGAGAGGCCAUUUCCAAAUAGACCCCCGGCAUCCUUCCCUCCAAGAACUUCCCACCUUGUUCUUGGGGAGACAAAAUGCUUCGCGAUCGCGAAGAACAAAUGCAUGGCUCUUCCUAGAUAGCCUCUAGUAUAACGGCAAUAACUUUUUGUACAAAACUCCAAAUUGUAAAUGGUUAAACUUUUUAAUUACUAGACUCCAAGGACUACAACUUUUAUGAUUCUCUAAUCUCCCAAGUCCUUAAAUAUUACAAGAUAUAAGCUUCUAAAGUCCUACCAAAAUUCACCUAUAUAAAGUGAGUAUAAAGUUUGAGGCUUUGUCGAAAUAUAUGACCAUCUCAUCUAAAAACUUAAGCUGUAUGAAAUAGCACACUUCUAUUUACUUGAUUAAACCUUUGAAAUGUCCCUUCACGUGCAAACCUGAUUCUUUUUCAGGAGUUAUGCACGUGGAUUUUUUUUUAAUAAUAGGUAGCGAUAAGACUUGAACCCAUGACUUCUGUUUGCUCUGUUACCACAUUGAACUGUGUGACUAUCCCAUGUAAAAGCUUAAGUUACUAGAGUGCGCACACUUUGAUUUACUUAAUUAUGUCUUUAACAGGUAGUGAUAUUUUUUCAACAUGACUGAUUUGCUAACUGAACGUAAUCCAAACUGAUUUGCUAACUGAACUAAAUCCAAAUUUGAACAUUGUUUUCAAAAGUCAAAACCCAAAAAACUAGAGAUCCCUAAACCAAAACCAAUAACCAAAAUUGUUUUUUAACUAAACAUUUAGAAAGAUAUAGCUGCGAAAACCAUCGUAGAGGAACAAUUUGGCAAAAAGUUCGUACACAUGUGCAACAUAUCCACAUGGAUCCUUAUCUCAUUUUUCCGAAACCUUCUAAUCAGUUGUCGAAGGUAUCCAACUACGUGACCAUCCCUCAACCAUAAAACCCAAAGAGAGUUCUUGUGCUAAAUGAAGGCAUGACUGUUACGAAUCUUUAAGAACUUUGUCGGUCAAAUCUCAACAAAUUCUGAAACUAGUAUCCUAGCUCAACCAUCUUACGUAAGAAAGCAUAAAAUCUGAUAAAGCAUCAAAUAUGGAAAAUCCAGAUGCAUCAACGUGUACGCAGAAAAUACUGGACAUACUUUGAUAAUAGCAACGACGGGGUAAAGCAAUAGAGUUCACGAUACACGGAAUAGGGGGAGAAGACGUAAUAGGUAAUUGAUAAGUAAAUAGUUCCUCACUCUGCUCACCUUGUUAUUGAUGUCACGCAGCUGCAAUUUUAGAGACUCAGAUGCCUCGAUCCAUUUAGAAUCACCGACAGAGUCUCUAUGUGACCAUGCCUUUUUAAGUGCAGAUCUCCACUCAACUACAUUACUUCUUAUUUCUUUGUUCAAUUCAACCCACUCAGGUGCACAUUUAUUUCUGGAGAGAAUCCUAUACAAGGUAUCUUCAGCUGGAUCAGCAUGAGGAUUAGUAUUGAGGUCCAAAGGUUUUCCCUUCCCUGGCAAGUUCUCAAACUGCCCUUCUUCCAUGGAAUGCCAUAUUCGUUGUUCAACAACAUUUAUUAUGUCAGUUUCCGACCU